ACAAUGAUACUUCCGUAAUUCGCGGCCCAGUCAUAAUGCAGACGGGGUGGUUAAAUUCCAAUGG
ncrna:unclassified sequences pemK RNA